UACGAAGGGGGCUAGCGUUGCUCGGAAUUACUGGGCGUAAAGCGCACGUAGGCGGUUCGUUACGUCGGAUGUGAAAGCCCUUGGCUUAACCGAGGAAGUGCAUCCGAAACUGGCGAGCUAGAGUACGAAAGAGGAUCGCGGAAUUCCCGGUGUAGAGGUGAAAUUCGUAGAUAUCGGGAGGAACACCGGUGGCGAAGGCGGCGAUCUGGGUCGAUACUGACGCUGAGGAGCGAAAGCGUGGGGAGCAAACAGG
rnacentral:rRNA from 1 species